rnacentral:rRNA from 1 species
GAACGCGAAGAACCUUACCCGGGCUUGAAUUGCAGAGGAAGGAUUUAGAGAUAAUGACGCCCUUCGGGGCCUCUGUGAAGGUGCUGCAUGGUUGUCGUCAGCUCGUGCCGUGAGGUGUCGGCUUAAGUGCCAUAACGAGCGCAACCCCUCUCUUCAGUUGCCAUCAGGUUAAGCUGGGCACUCUGGAGACACUGCCACCGUAAGGUGUGAGGAAGGUGGGGAUGACGUCAAAUCAGCACGGCCCUUACGUCCGGGGCUACACACGUGUUACAAUGGCCGGUACAGAGGGAUGGUGUAAUGCAAAUUGCAUCAAAUCUUGAAAGCCGGUCCCAGUUCGGACUGGGGUCUGCAACCCGACCCCACGAAGCUGGAUUCGCUAGUAAUCGCGCAUCAGCCAUGGCGCGGUGAAUACGUUCCCGGGUCUUGUACACACC